UACGGAGGAUGCGAGCGUUAUCCGGAUUUAUUGGGUUUAAAGGGUGCGUAGGCGGCUUUUUAAGUCAGCGGUGAAAUUUUGCAGCUUAACUGUAACAGUGCCGUUGAUACUGGGGAGCUAGGAUUUGGUUGCUGUGGGUGGAAUGUGUGGUGUAGCGGUGAAAUGCUUAGAAAUCACACAGAAUAUCGAUUGCGAAGGCAGCUCACAAAGCCAAGAUUGACGCUGAGGCACGAAAGUGUGGGGAUCAAACAGGAUUAGAUA
rnacentral:rRNA from 1 species